AUUGAACGCUGGCGGCAGGCCUAACACAUGCAAGUCGAGCGAGCGGCGGACGGGUGAGUAAUGUCUGGGAAACUGCCUGAUGGAGGGGGAUAACUCUUGGCAACGGUAGCUAAUACAGCAUACCAUCAUAUGUGCCCAGAUGGGAGUUGCUAGUUGGUGGGGUAACGGCUCACCUAGGCGACGAUCCCUAGCUGGUCUGAGAGGAUGACCAGCCACACUGGGACUGAGACACGGGCCAGACUCCUACGGGAGGCAGCAGUGGGGAAUAUUGCACAAUGGGCGCAAGCCUGAUGCAGCCAUGCCGCGUGUGUGAAGAAGGCCUUCGGGUUGUAAAGCACUUUCGGCGGGGAGGCGUUACCCGCAGAAGAAGCACCGGCUAACUCCGUGCCAGCAGCCGCGGUAAUAC
rnacentral:rRNA from 1 species